AGAGUUUGAUCAUGGCUCAGAACGUACGCUGGCGGCACGCCUAACACAUGCAAGUCGAACGCAGUAGCAAUACUGAGUGGCAGACGGGUGAGUAUAAUGUGGGAAUCUGCCUUUUGGUUCGGAAUAACACGAGGAAACUUGUGCUAAUACCGGAUAAGCCUUCACAGGGAAAGUUUUAAUGCCAAAAGAUGAGCCCGCACUUGAUUAGCUAGUUGGUAAGGUAAUGGCUUACCAAGGCAACGAUCAAUAGCUGUUCUUAGAGGAAGAUCAGCCACAUUGGGACUGAGACACGGCCCAAACUCCUACGGGAGGCAGCAGUGGGGAAUCUUGCACAAUGGGGGCAACCCUGAUGCAGCGAUGCCGCGUGAGUGAAGAAGGCCUUUGGGUUGUAAAACUCUUUCGUCGGGGAAGAAAAUGACUGUACCCGAAUAAGAAGGUCCGGCUAACUUCGUGCCAGCAGCCGCGGUAAUACGAAGGGACCUAGCGUAGUUCGGAAUUACUGGGCUUAAAGAGUUCGUAGGUGGUUAAAAAAGUUGAUGGUGAAAUCCCAAGGCUCAACCUUGGAACUGCCAUCAAAACUUUUUAGCUAGAGUAUGAUAGAGGAAAGUGGAAUUUCUAGUGUAGAGGUGAAAUUCGUAGAUAUUAGAAAGAACAUCAAAAGCGAAGGCAACUUUCUGGAUCAUUACUGACACUGAGGAACGAAAGCAUGGGUAGCGAAGAGGAUUAGAUACCCUCGUAGUCCAUGCCGUAAACGAUGUGUGCUAGACGUUGGAAACUUAGUU
rnacentral:rRNA from 1 species